CCUACGGGAGGCAGCAGUGAGGAAUAUUGGUCAAUGGACGAGAGUCUGAACCAGCCAAGUAGCGUGAAGGAUGACUGCCCUAUGGGUUGUAAACUUCUUUUAUAUGGGAAUAAAACGUUCCACGUGUGGGAUUUUGUAUGUACCAUAUGAAUAAGGAUCGGCUAACUCCGUGCCAGCAGCCGCGGUAAUACGGAGGAUCCGAGCGUUAUCCGGAUUUAUUGGGGUUAAAGGGAGCGUAGGUGGAUUGUUAAGUCAGUUGUGAAAGUUUGCGGCUCAACCGUAAAAUGGCAGUUGAAACUGGCAGUCUUGAGUACAGUAGAGGUGGGCGGAAUUCGUGGUGUAGCGGUGAAAUGCUUAGAUAUCACGAAGAACUCCGAUUGCGAAGGCAGUUCACUGGACUGCAACUGACACUGAGGCUCGAAAGUGUGGGUAUCAAACAGGAUUAGAUACCCGGGUAGUC
rnacentral:rRNA from 1 species